AUGUACCAUGUAAACAUUUUUAUAAUUAAUUUUUCUUUAUUUUUAGGUGUACCAUUGCUACCAGAACCUAUUAUAAGGGAGAGGGGUUUUAGUUGGUAGGUCCUCCUGUUAGGGAAUCCAACACUACCCAGUCGUACGGUCGGCGGGGUGUCUUUCGAAGAUUUCCCCUCUUCCAC
rfam:Agrilus planipennis Contig14335, whole genome shotgun sequence.